AGUUACUUGUUUGCUUGCUGAGACACCUGACACCUGAAAAUUAACGGAGAGGUUUAUUUUCGCUCACAGUUGGCGGAGAUUGCCGUUAACAGCCCGGAGGACCCAGGGCACGGCGUUCCAGCAGGGGGCCUGGCGGAGCGGAAGGAGCUCGGGGCAGGAUCCAGGGAAGAGGGCGGGAGAUACAGCUUUUCCGGGCUACCGCCUCCACCAAGCUUUGCCUCCCAACAUCAUAAACUCAUCAGCGGGCAAAGCUACGGGUCCUUCACAAAGGAAAUGGGAAAAAAGGAGAAAAACGGUAUAUGAGUGGAAAUGCAACCAAAGUGAGAAAGGAGAAUUGGAAUGGCAUAGGACUUCAAAGGGAAGAAAGAACCAUCAUUACUGAGGCAUCUUUUUCCCCCUAGCAGUGCUGGAGAUGGAAGAGAAUCCUACACAUUUUCAGGAGAGAUACUUUCAAGCCUUCUGCCCUUCAAUUUAAAUGGUUUGGAGCCUGUCACUGCACUGAGAGGACAGAAUUACUAUUGGUUAUAACAGCAUCAACAGAUCUGACCACACAUCGCUUCUGUUAAGCCGUAUAAUUUAAUGUAACACUUAAGAAGGAAAUUUUGCUAUUACUGACUUUUCAUGAAAAUUGUCCAGUGACGGUGUAAAGCAGAAGAGCAGCUACGGGAGAGAGAUGAAAGAUGAUUUUCU